rnacentral:misc_RNA from 1 species
UUUCCGUAGGUGAACCUGCGGAAGGAUCAUUAAAGUUAUAGUCCCCCAGCCCUCUGGGCUGGGGUCUUCUAUACCACCCUUUGUUUAUUACACCUUUGUUGCUUUGGCAGGCCUGCCCUCGGGCUGCUGGCUCCGGCCGGCUCGCGUCUGCCAGAGGACCUAAACUCUGUUUGUAUAUGAAGUCUGAGUACUAUAUAAUAGUUAAAACUUUCAACAACGGAUCUCUUGGUUCUG